AUAAAAUCGGCAGGAAAAAUACUCGUGCAGCGUGCAAAGGAGGUCCUUUGAUGUUGCUUUCCGUUGCAAAAAGGUAUAUAGCUCUGGUUACGCAAACGAAGAUCCAAGGACACGGACUAACCCGUUUCAGAUGCCUGCUCUUGAUGGAUCUCUCGUGAGGCGAUCUGAAACGCGCCUGACACAAAUCUCGCCAACGUUUUGAUCGCUUCGAAUGAAAAAGUAUUUGUAUAAGGUGUUGCAUUACAACCGAGGCCUCCUCCAUGAAUACACACGACCGUACAGCCUGCUCGACCUUGUAUCGGAAUUACAGUGGAUUUGACCCAGGUACCUUGACAACGAUCCUACUCCGUCUUAAUCUAACCGGAUCUCUUUAGAAGCAGAAGGUAUCAUGCCUAAGGUAACUUGAUCUUAACCCGCUCUACAAUGCCCAGAGGAAUAGCACCGAAGAUGAACAGCCC